CACCUCCACAAUCCAACUGGAAUCCUUGGACUAGUAGCAACAUUGAUGAGGGGCCUCUGGCUUUUGCUACUCCAGAGCAAAUAAGCAUGGACCUCAAGAAUGAAUUGAUGUACCAGUUGGAACAGGAUCAUGAUUUGCAAGCAAUCUUGCAGGAGAGAGAGUUACUGCCUGUGAAGAAAUUUGAAAGUGAGAUUCUGGAAGCAAUCAGUCAAAAUUCGGUUGUCAUUAUUAGAGGAGCUACUGGAUGUGGGAAAACCACACAGGUUCCCCAGUUCAUUCUAGAUGACUUUAUCCAGAAUGACCGAGCAGCAGAGUGUAACAUUGUAGUAACUCAGGUAAGUAGUAAACCAACCAUGAAAUACCUAGAGACCAGACUAUUUCUAAUUCUUUCUUUGAUUAACUAAUUUUUGCAAUUAUUUAAGAUUGAGAGCAUUGUGCCCUUGAAAUUAAAUUU
rnacentral:sRNA from 1 species